AUUGAGCGCUGGCGGAAUGCUUUACACGUGCAAGUCGAACGGCAGCACGGACUUCGGUCUGGUGGCGAGUGGCGAACGGGUGAGUAGUACAUCGGAACGUACCUUAUCGUGGGGGAUAACGCAGCGAAAGUUGCGCUAAUACCGCAUACGCCCUGAGGGGGAAAGCGGGGGACCGUAAGGCCUCGCGCGAUUAGAGCGGCCGAUGUCUGAUUAGCUUGUUGGUGAGGUAAAAGCUCACCAAGGCGAUGAUCAGUAGCUGGUCUGAGAGGACGUUCAGCCACACUGGGACUGAGACACGGCCCAGACUCCUACGGGAGGCAGCAGUGGGGAAUUUUGGACAAUGGGGGCAACCCUGAUCCAGCAAUGCCGCGUGAGUGAAGAAGGCCUUCGGGUUGUAAAGCUCUUUUGUCAGGGAAGAAACAGCAGCUCUAACACAGUAUGCGAAUGACGGUACCCGAAGAAUAAGCACCGGCUAACUACGUGCCAGCCGCCGCCGUAA
rnacentral:rRNA from 1 species